rnacentral:rRNA from 1 species
GAUAACUGUGGUAAUUCUAGAGCUAAUACAUGCAGCAAGCCUUGACCCUCACGGGCAAGGCGCAGUUAUUAGAUCAAAAACCAAUCGGUUGUACUUUCGGGUAUAGCCGUUACUUUGGUGACUCUGAGUAACCACAGCGAACCGUAUGGCCUCGUGCUCGACGGUCUGUCAGUCAAGCAACUGCCUUAUCAGCUUGUUGUUAGAUUAUAUGCCUAACAAGGCUUCAACGGGUAACGAACGAUCGGGGUCGGAUAUCGGAGAGGGAGCUUGAGAAACGGCUACCACUUCCAAGGAAGGCAGCAGGCGCGCAAAUUACCCACUCUCGGCAUGAGGAGGUAGCAAUAAAAUGUAUCGAUGCGGGGCCUUUAGUGCCUUCGUAAUCGGAAUGAGUACACUUUAAAUCCUAUAACAAGGACCUAUUGGAGGGCAAGUCUGGUGCCAGCAGCCGCGGUAAUUCCAGCUCCAAUAGCGUAUAUUAAUGCUGCUGCGGUUAAAAAGCUCGUAGUCGGAUCUGGGUUACCGGCGGGUACCGCAUGUCGCUUCAUGCAGCAUGUUGUGUACUAUACGUGUCGCUUCGGUGGCACUGCCAGUGUAAUGCUGUCUCAUGUAGGCACGUUAUGCUGGUCGCCGGAACCACGGGCCGGGUUGAGCAGCAUGCUCUUAAUUGAGUGUGUUGUUUACUCGGUGCGUUUACUUUGAAAAAAUUGGAGUGCUCAAAGCAAGCGUACAGUCGCUAUGCGGCUUGAACAGUGGUGCAUGGAAUAAUGGAAUAGGGCCUCGGUUCUAUUUUGUUGGUUUUAAGAUAUCGAGGUAAUGAUUAAGAGGGACAGACGGGGACGUUUGUAUUGCGACGUUAGAGGUGAAAUUCUUGGAUCGUCGCAAGACACACUAAUGCGAA